rnacentral:rRNA from 1 species
CCUACGGGAGGCAGCAGUAGGGAAUCUUCCGCAAUGGGCGAAAGCCCGACGGAGCACGCCGCGUGAGUGAUGAAGGGUUUCGGCUCGUAAAACUCUGUUAUUAGGGAAGAACAAACGUGUAAGUAACUGUGCACGUCUUGACGGUACCUAAUCAGAAAGCCACGGCUAACUACGUGCCAGCAGCCGCGGUAAUACGUAGGUGGCAAGCGUUAUCCGGAAUUAUUGGGCGUAAAGCGCGCGUAGGCGGUUUCUUAAGUCUGAUGUGAAAGCCCACGGCUCAACCGUGGAGGGUCAUUGGAAACUGGGAAACUUGAGUGCAGAAGAGGAAAGUGGAAUUCCAUGUGUAGCGGUGAAAUGCGCAGAGAUAUGGAGGAACACCAGUGGCGAAGGCGACUUUCUGGUCUGUAACUGACGCUGAUGUGCGAAAGCGUGGGGAUCAAACAGGAUUAGAUACCCUGGUAGUCCACGCCGUAAACGAUGAGUGCUAAGUGUUAGGGGGUUUCCGCCCCUUAGUGCUGCAGCUAACGCAUUAAGCACUCCGCCUGGGGAGUCCGACCAAAGGUUGAAACUCAAAGGAAUUGACGG